rnacentral:rRNA from 1 species
AAAAUUAGAGUGUUCAAAGCAGGCAGAUCCAAUUUUCUGCCACCGAAUACAUUAGCAUGGGAUAAUGGAAUAGGACCCUGUCCUCCUAUUUUCAGUUGGUUUUGGCAGCGCGAGGACUAGGGUAAUGAUUAAUAGGGAUAGUUGGGGGCAUUAAUAUUUAAUUGUCAGAGGUGAAAUUCUUGGAUUUAUGAAAGAUUAACUUCUGCGAAAGCAUCUGCCAAGGAUGUUUUCAUUAAUCAAGAACGAAAGUUAGGGGAUCGAAGACGAUCAGAUACCGUCGUAGUCUUAACCAUAAACGAUGCCGACCAGCGAUUAGGAGACGUUGAAUACAAAACACCACCAUCGGCGCGGUCGUCCUUGGCGUGUCUCGGCUUCACGGCUGGGGCGCGCGAGGGCGGUUAGCCC